GAUGAACGCUAGCGGCAGGCCUAAUACAUGCAAGUCGAACGGGGUGAUUCAGCAAUGGAUCAUUCAGUGGCGCACGGGUGCGUAACGCGUAUGCAACCUACCUUAAACUGGGGGAUAGCCUUCCGAAAGGGAGAUUAAUACCGCAUAAUACUAUUUGAUGGCAUCUGAAGAUAGUUAAAGAUUUAUUGGUUUAAGAUGGGCAUGCGUGCCAUUAGCUAGUUGGUAGUGUAAUGGCCUACCAAGGCUACGAUGGCUAGGGGUUCUGAGAGGAUGAUCCCCCACACUGGUACUGAGAUACGGACCAGACUCCUACGGGAGGCAGCAGUAGGGAAUAUUGGGCAAUGGACGCAAGUCUGACCCAGCCAUGCCGCGUGCAGGAUGAAGGCCUUCUGGGUUGUAAACUGCUUUUAUCUAGGAAGAAAACACCCAUGCGUGGGAAACUGACGGUACUAGAUGAAUAAGCACCGGCUAACUCCGUGC
rnacentral:rRNA from 1 species